rfam:Myotis davidii contig99507, whole genome shotgun sequence.
GGUUGUUCUUGAGUGACACACCCCAGAAUCGGACUCCCUUCUCUCUGGUUCCAUGUGUGUCACCCAAGAACUGCA